rnacentral:rRNA from 1 species
GACGAACGCUGGCGGCGUGCUUAACACAUGCAAGUCGAACGGUGAAGCGCCUUCCUUUUUGGUGGGUGUGGAUGAGUGGCGAACGGGUGAGUAACACGUGAGUAACCUGCCCCCUUCUUCUGGAUAACCGCAUGAAAGUGUGGCUAAUACGGGAUAUUCUGGGUCUGUCGCAUGAUGGGUCUGGGAAAGAUAUUGUUUCGGUGGGGGAUGGGCUCGCGGCCUAUCAGCUUGUUGGUGGGGUGAUGGCCUACCAAGGCGGUGACGGGUAGCCGGCCUGAGAGGGUGGACGGUCACACUGGGACUGAGACACGGCCCAGACUCCUACGGGAGGCAGCAGUGGGGAAUAUUGCACAAUCGGCGCAAGCCUGAUGCAGCGACGCCGCGUGAGGGAUGGAGGCCUUCGGGUUGUGAACCUCUUUCGCCAGUGAAGCAGGCCUGCCUCGUUUGUGGGUGGGUUGACGGUAGCUGGAUAAGAAGCGCCGGCUAACUACGUG